GAUGAACGCUAGCGGCAGGCCUAAUACAUGCAAGUCGAACGGGUGUAGCAAUACACUAGUGGCGCACGGGUGCGUAACGCGUAACCAACCUGCCCUUGACUGGGGGAUAGCCCGCCGAAAGGCGGAUUAAUACCGCAUACCUCCCGUACCUGGCAUCAGGCGCGGGGGAAAGAUUUAUUGGUCAAGGAUGGGGUUGCGUAGCAUUAGCUGGAUGGCGGGGUAACGGCCCACCAUGGCGACGAUGCUUAGGGGACCUGAGAGGGUGAUCCCCCACACUGGCACUGAGAUACGGGCCAGACUCCUACGGGAGGCAGCAGUAGGGAAUAUUGGGCAAUGGGCGAGAGCCUGACCCAGCCAUGCCGCGUGCCGGAUGAAGGCCUUCUGGGUUGUAAACGGCUUUUCUCAGGGAAGAAAACGACCAUGCGUGGUACACUGACGGUACCUGAAGAAUAAGCACCGGCUAACUACGUGCCAGCAGCCGCGGUAAUACGUAGGGUGCAAGCGUUAAUCGGAAUUACUGGGCGUAAAGCGUGCGCAGGCGGUUGUGCAAGACAGAUGUGAAAUCCCCGGGCUUAACCUGGGAAUUGCAUUUGUGACUGCACGGCUAGAGUGUGUCAGAGGGGGGUAGAAUUCCACGUGUAGCAGUGAAAUGCGUAGAUAUGUGGAGGAAUACCGAUGGCGAANGCAGCCCCCUGGGAUAACACUGACGCUCAUGCACGAAAGCGUGGGGAGCAAACAGGAUUAGAUACCCUGGUAGUCCACGCCCUAAACGAUGUCUACUAGUUGUCGGGUCUUAAUUGACUUGGUAACGCAGCUAACGCGUGAAGUAGACCGCCUGGGGAGUACGGUCGCAAGAUUAAAACUCAAAGGAAUUGACGGGGACCCGCACAAGCGGUGGAUGAUGUGGAUUAAUUCGAUGCAACGCGAAAAACCUUACCUACCCUUGACAUGGCAGGAAUCCUUGAGAGAUCAGGGAGUGCUCGAAAGAGAACCUGCACACAGGUGCUGCAUGGCUGUCGUCAGCUCGUGUCGUGAGAUGUUGGGUUAAGUCCCGCAACGAGCGCAACCCUUGUCAUUAGUUGCUACGAAAGGGCACUCUAAUGAGACUGCCGGUGACAAACCGGAGGAAGGUGGGGAUGACGUCAAGUCCUCAUGGCCCUUAUGGGUAGGGCUUCACACGUCAUACAAUGGUACAUACAGAGGGCCGCCAACCCGCGAGGGGGAGCUAAUCCCAGAAAGUGUAUCGUAGUCCGGAUUGGAGUCUGCAACUCGACUCCAUGAAGUUGGAAUCGCUAGUAAUCGCGGAUCAGCAUGUCGCGGUGAAUACGUUCCCGGGUCUUGUACACACCGCCCGUCACACCAUGGGAGCGGGUUUUACCAGAAGUAGGUAGCUUAACCGUAAGGAGGGCGCUUACCACGGUAGGAUUCGUGACUGGGGUG
rnacentral:rRNA from 1 species